rnacentral:rRNA from 1 species
UACGUAGGGUGUCGAGCGUUGUCCGGAAUUACUGGGCGUAAAGAGCUCGUAGGUGGUUUGUCGCGUUGUUCGUGAAAUCUCACGGCUUAACUGUGAGCGUGCGGGCGAUACGGGCAGACUUGAGUACUGCAGGGGAGACUGGAAUUCCUGGUGUAGCGGUGGAAUGCGCAGAUAUCAGGAGGAACACCGGUGGCGAAGGCGGGUCUCUGGACAGUUCCUGACGCUGAGGCACGAAGGCCAGGGGAGCAAACGGGG